rnacentral:rRNA from 1 species
UACGUAGGGGGCAAGCGUUGUCCGGAUUUAUUGGGCGUAAAGAGCGUGUAGGCGGCCAAGCAGGUCCGCUGUGAAAACUCGAGGCUCAACCUCGAGACGUCGGCGGAAACCAUCUGGCUAGAGUCCGGAAGAGGAGAGUGGAAUUCCUGAUGUAGCGGUGAAAUGCGCAGAUAUCAGGAAGAACACCCGUGGCGAAGGCGGCUCUCUGGGACGGUACUGACGCUGAGACGCGAAAGCGUGGGGAGCGAACAGG